AUUGAACGCUGGCGGAAUGCUUUACACAUGCAAGUCGAACGGCAGCACGGGGCAACCUGGUGGCGAGUGGCGAACGGGUGAGUAAUACAUCGGAACGUGCCCAGUCGUGGGGGAUAACGUAGCGAAAGUUACGCUAAUACCGCAUACGAUCUAUGGAUGAAAGCGGGGGAUCGCAAGACCUCGCGCGAUUGGAGCGGCCGAUGUCAGAUUAGGUAGUUGGUGGGGUAAAGGCCUACCAAGCCGACGAUCUGUAGCUGGUCUGAGAGGACGACCAGCCACACUGGGACUGAGACGCGGCCCAGACUCCUACGGGAGGCAGCAGUGGGGAAUUUUGGACAAUGGGCGCAAGCCUGAUCCAGCCAUUCCGCGUGCAGGAUGAAGGCCUUCGGGUUGUAAACUGCUUUUGUACGGAACGAAAAGGCUCUGGUUAAUACCCGGGGCUCAUGACGGUACCGUAAGAAUAAGCACCGGCUAACUACGUG
rnacentral:rRNA from 1 species